GUUUUAAUGCUCCACUCUUCCCAUAUCCACACCUUUGCUUCCUUUACAGUGAACUGCACUAGCAGCAGCAACAACAGCAACAACAGCAGCAGCAGGGCAGCAGC
rnacentral:miRNA from 1 species